rnacentral:lncRNA from 1 species
AAUCAUGAUCGCUCAGGAAAUCAUCAUUUGAAACAAAAUUUCUCUUCAAAAAUUUCUUCGAUAACUUCUACCAAAGAUAAAUUGACCAAUGAUGUUCAAUCUUCUGUUGACUUAUCAAAUACUUCAGCUUCUUGUUCAGCUGACCUUAGCGCUACAGCAAUUGAAAACAUCCCAGCAGAUAUCAAUGCGACACAACUAUCUGUAGAAAGCCAGUCCAGAAACCACGGUUGCCGAAAAACUCUUGAUACUGAGUUGUCUCCAUUUUCUGUGCCUUCUUCUAAAGUAUUGCUAAGAAAUGCUCAACCUGGCAUUAGCUCAUUAGAUGCUCCAGUGCCUCGCUCUGUUAGCCUUGAUUCUGAAGCAAUAGAGUUAACCUUAAUUGGUGCUCAGGUGUGCCAACAACCGUUACAAACUCAAUCGAAACAGCAUGAUCAGUCAAAAACUCAUCAUACUAAUUCAGAUAGCUCUCUAGAAAAAAACAAAAACAGCACUUCACAAAAUGAACAAACAAGGCUAGAAACCAAUUGCAACAAAACUAAUAAGUGCUCACCAAGAAUAACAGACACAAUUGUACAUGACGGUCAUCAGAAUGGAGAAGUAACGUCAAAUGAUUGUUCCUUGACUCCUCGGUAUCCAUUCGAUUUCAAGCAGUUAGCUCAUAUCAAAGAAGGAGAAGUUAUUCAUUCAGUCGUUGUAAUUCAGGCUAUAAAAAGACAAGUUUCAUGUAACUCUUGUACUGCACUGGUGUCAGUUUGCGUGACGGAUGAAAGCAUAUUUCCUGAUGUAAUGGAUAUUACAAUAGUAACUCAUGUUGAACUGAAGCCUUUGCUGAAAAAAAAUGAUAUCGCAAGAUUUAUGAAUAUUCAUAUAAGUUCGGUAGAUGGUAAACUAAUAGGAAAUGUAUUUUCUGGUGAUGAUGUUGGCAUCUACAAAAGUCCAGAGGAAGUCUCAAGUUCUGGAGGCUUCAGCCUAAUAAGACAAUGCACUUUUGCAGAUGGAGAUUCUGUAAGAUUUUCAAAAAUAUCUCAGUGGCAAAAGCAAAUAACAACGGAAGUAAGAGCACAAAUGCUGGAAGUGUUCGGCGAGGUUUCUGAUGAUGAUUGCACUGACAUUGAAAAUGACUGUUCAGGGAAACGGAAUUUUUGUCAUGAGACAACCGUUGAAAAAUUAGGUGGUAAUUUUUCAACCAAUGAACCUGAGCAUUUGAUAUGCUCAGAACUCCUUGUCUUUGACUCAUCUACUCUCAAUGUUGAUCAACUCCUCAACCUUAAAUGCAAGGUUUGUAACAUUUAUUAUUUACGUAGUAACAAGGCUGUAAUUCAUGUUGAAGCAAGUAGUUUGUCAAACAAUAAAUGUAGUUCUCCCAACAUACCUAAGAAAUCAGUUAUGAAAAAACUACUCAGAUCUACGGAUUGGAUUAAGUAUUUAAUCACUUCAAGAUUUACCGAUGGAUCGCUGUUUUUCUUUGUGGAGAGUCUCUCAGCGCCACCCAUUGUUUAUAACAUAAAAGCCAGAAGCCAACUUCUAAUAUCAGCAACCCAAAAGAAUGAGCGACCAGCCAAUCAAGAUUUUGAAACAAUAAAAUGUGAUUUAAAAGUAAUUAAUAAUGAUGAUGAUUCCUCAUCAACUAAGUUGGGUAUGAAUCCAGAGUUUGAAGCAAAGAAUACCUUUGUUCCUAAGACAAGUGAAUUCAAUGAAGAUCAAAAAGAGAUCUUAGAACAAUUGGUUGUGAAGAAAUCUCCCAGUCCACAGAGAACAUUUUAUUCUAGUCCAGUUAAUUAUACUUUAAAUGGUUUGAAAGACAAUUUCUCGUCUAAGAACUGUAUAAGGGAUGUAAAAGUGCUUUUAGUGCGGAAUCCAAUAAUCGAAAAUAUGUCUCCGAAAAAAAAGAAAUUCCUCAAAUUAUGAAAGUAAUCAAGAAAAAUUAGAUGGAGACACCUAGAGUAUCCUUAUGAGGAGAGUGAAAAUUUGGCUUAUCAGAAGUUCUAUAGGCCCCACAAAGAGCAUCAACCUAGACUUAAUUUUGAACGCGUCCAUUAUCCCCCCCAAAUCUUCUCACUCAUUCAGUGCUCCACGUAAGUUCAUUAUAUAAUUGAUUUUCUCUAUGUUUACCCUACAUCUUAAAGAAUGCAAAAAAAAUUUCUUCAAUGUACCUAUUUGGCUAAAUAGAAAUGAUUGAAUGGAGCUUUUAUAUGUGCCAGGGAUUUGUGAUUCAUGCACUUGUUCUAAAAUUUUGCAAGAAAUACUAUGGUGAUACUUCUAUUCCCUGAAAUGAACUUCUUAGCUACAAAAAAGCUACUAAAGUUGAAGCUGUAAUGGAAGUAUCCCUCUCGCUGUGCUAAGAGUCCACCCCUACAUCCUGUCAAACCCUCCAUGCACAGGCAGGGAGCAACUACAUCAACAGGGUUGCCUUUAUGUCCGUGACUCCAAGGCUGGAAACAUGGCAACCUUACUGAUGUAUUUGCUCCCUAACUGUGCAGCAUGGAGCGUUUGACUGGUCAUGGAGAUGGAUUCUCAGUGUAGCGCAUGGGACCUCUUCCAUUGCGGCCUUAACUUUAAGAGCUUUUUUUAGCUUCGGAGUUUAUCUUAGGGAUAACUAGUCGCACCAUCAUGUUUCUUUCAAAAUUUUUCAUUAACAAAAGUAAUAAAUUGCAAAUCCUUGACCCAUGCAAAAGCUUCAUUUUGGAAAUAUCAUUAUACCACUACUAUUCAGUGUUACACAUUAUUUGUUUAGAUCAAACAAUUUUUCUCUCAAAUAAUCAUGUAGUUGAGCAAAUUUAAGCUGUGUAAGUUUGACUUAAAUAUGUCGUUAAAACAUGUGUUUUUCCUUGAUAAGGAUAGGAACUGAUAGUAAAAAGAAGAAAAUCUCAACAUGCUAUCUUUAUUGAUAAGUGAUAUUUAUUCUGUAUGGACACAAUGGUUUUAACGGAGUUAUUUUGUGGGAAGAAGAAAAAAUGGGAGUCCACUAAAUUUCAGUGCUCAUAUUCUCUUGAUGACUGUUGAGGCAAAAAUUGAACCCACAACCUUUGAAAUUUCAGUGCUCUAAACCCUACUUUCAUUAUAUGAGAAUCUUAAUGUAGUGCCACAUGGCGACACUGUAAGCCUAACGGUCGGGGCUGUUGUAGAGACAACCCAGAAUAUGUCCUCUGUUCUUGCCUCUUAGUAGCUGGUCUAAUGUCAUUACCCCUCACCUGACACUAAUGGUAAGUUGUAAGUUCUCAAGGUAAUGACGGAAGACUUGCUGACAAGAGCGAAUGUGGAUUGCUACUUUGACAGCCCCGACGGUUAAGCUUACAAUGUUACCAUGUAGCACCAUAUUAACAAGGGACACUUCAUAGUUUAUAUCAUGUCAUCUCAUCAAUUUCUUCUAAUCUCUCCUUCCCUUUCCUUUUAAUUAUUGAUCAUUAAUGUUUUUUUUUUCAUCUUUCUUCCUUUCACAGAGAUCUUUCAAUUGAAAAGGUUUGCAGUCAAAAAUUCUCUUCACACCCAAAGCAAAUGUAUUCCUGCUCCUGCUCUUUAAACUCCUCUCAGGAUUCAAAUUACUCAGUGAAAUAUUUCUUUGUUAGUGUGUUACAUUAAAUAUAUCCUGAGAUUGGCGAAAUAUACGCCAAUAAAGGUAUUUCAUAAAACUUGGUCUGUGUUUAUAAAUUUUAUAAAAAAUGUUUGUGAAUUAUUAAUUAUUCUUUGAAUGAUUCUGACCGAUCUCUCCUUCACGAUUUAACAAAAACAAGCAAAUCGAUGAACUCGUAUAUUAAUUAAUUAAUUACAUGAUCAAAGUUAUUCUUAAAUACAUAAAUACAAUUGAAGGUAGCAGCUGUAAAGUCUAAAUUUCCAGUAUCUCUGCGCCAUUGAAUGUUCACACUGAAUCAAGCGAAACAAUUUUCAGUGUAGAUCAGCAACUGAAACCAUGGUUACCAUAUUAUUUUGUAAUCAAAUUAUAUGAUGGGCAAUGACAUCUCUCUGCCAAUUUUAUUAUUUAUGAAAAAUUUUCUUGCAGUAUUACAUUUAAUAAUUUUACAUGACUUUCGUGAGAAACUCUCUUUUAUUCUUCUUCGAUUUAUUUUACCUUCUUUGAUUUAUUUUAAGUUCUUUGAUUUAUUUUUACUUACUAAUUCGUUUUACCCCAUUACUGUGUUGUAAAUUGUUCUGUAUUCUUCUUCACAUCUUACCUAAUGUGAUCCAAGAAUGUUUGUGCGAAAAUGACAAAACUUCCUUUUUUUAAAUGUUGAUUUUAAAGAAAAUAAAGAAAAUUCUCUGUCGUCUGGUGCAGAGUAUAAAAAAUUCAACUUGUUAUUAUUCAUCAAAACUCUUAGAAUUUAAGUGCAUUUAAUUAAUUGAUGCUUGGAUCAUAGACAUGUAUUGCAAAAUUUUAGUUAGUUAAUGAAUGUGAAAAAGCUUAGACGUGUUGGAUAUUGUCAUUAACUAGAAGAGAGCCUAGGGCAAACAUUUGACAAUUUUACAAAUUUUAGUUUGCUAUUCUUAAUUAUUUAGCCUUUUUGGGGAGAGGGAAGUGUCAGUCAAUCAUCAAGAAUCGGUAUUGUGACCCUAAGAUAAAAAAUGUUUAACAAAUUAUCUUUGGAAAAGUAAGAUGAUCUUUUAAAGCUCCGAAUGAUUGUGCUGAAUUCAAUAUUGAAUUGUGAAAUAUUUUAUCCAUCCCUGACUGGAAAACAGAAUUUGCUAAAUUUUGUUGCUAAAAUUUGUCCAGGAAAAGUUGGUUGGAAUAUUGGUGCAUCAAUAAAAAUUUUACCUCCAGAAGUUUAUAACCAGGUGUCUCUAAUUAGAUUCAAGCUUCCAAACUCCUAAAGCAAGUGCACAGACUUCACUAUGCACCUUUGUCUUUUUCUAAUAUUUGCGGUCCUAUUGUAAGAGAGUUACAAUUUUAACUUCCAGAAAUCUAUGAAAAGAAGAAUUAUCAGUUCAAGAAGCGGUGAGUUUUAGUCAAAAGAAAUGGUGGAUCAAAUUUGCUCAUAGUACAGUAAUAGUAAAAACUUAAGCAACUUAUCACAUUGAUAUGGGCGGAAG